GCUGGCGGUAUGCUUUACACAUGCAAGUCGUACGAGAGUUUUUAACUCAAGUGGCGGACGGGUGAGUAACACGUAAGAAUUUGCCUUUAGGAGGGGGACAACAACUGGAAACGGUUGCUAAUACCCCAUAUGCUUUCGAGUGAAAUGGUUUUUCCGCCUAAAGAGAAGCUUGCGGCUGAUUAGCUUGUUGGUAGGGUAAUGGCUUACCAAGGCGACGAUCAGUAUCUGGUUUGAGAGGACGAUCAGACACACUGGAACUGAGACACGGUCCAGACUCCUACGGGAGGCAGCAGUGGGGAAUUUUCCGCAAUGGGCGAAAGCCUGACGGAGCAAUACCGCGUGAGGGAUGACUGCCUAUGGGUUGUAAACCUCUUUUUUCAGGGAGGAAUAAAUGACGUGUACCUGAAGAAUAAGCAUCGGCUAACUCCGUGCCAGCAGCCGCGGUAAGACGGAGGAUGCAAGUGUUAUCCGGAAUCACUGGGCGUAAAGCGUCUGUAGGUGGUUUAAUAAGUCAACUGUUAAAUCUUGAGGCUCAACCUCGAAACCGCAGUCGAAACUAUUAGACUAGAGUAUAGUAGGGGUAAAAGGAAUUUCCAGUGGAGCGGUGAAAUGCGUAGAGAUUGGAAAGA
rnacentral:rRNA from 1 species